AAUCCAUGAUGUGGACAGGUGAUGACAUAAUCUUGCAGCCUCUCCCAUGCGUCGGCAAUACUUUCAUCAGGGUACGGAGUGAAUCCAAAGAUCUUGAGAUG